GGUUGAUCCUGCCAGUAGUCAUAUGCUUGUCUCAAAGAUUAAGCCAUGCAUGUCUAAGUAUAAGCUUUUAUACGGUGAAACUGCGAAUGGCUCAUUAAAACAGUUAUAGUUUAUUUGAUGGUCUCUUUUACAUGGAUAACCAUGGUAAUUCUAUGGCUAAUACAUGCGCACUGGCCACCUUCUCUGGAGGGGCUGUGUUUAUUAGAUACAAAACCAACCCACUUUAUGUGGAGCCUUGGUGAUUCAUAGUAACCGAACGGAUCGCAGUUGGCUUUUCGGCCCGCGAUGGAUC
rnacentral:rRNA from 1 species